GACUGAUUGCUCGGCCGGCCCUGCUGGUGAGCACGGGUGGCUGCUGCCUUGCAUACAUCCAAUUUGAAAAUGACCUGUUGCCACCUACCGGACAGGAGUUAGCGGCUGCCGACCGUUCUGUGAUUCUCCAGAACACACAGAUGGCCAGCCCACCCCUGCGUGAGUCUCAGUAUACACAUGAAGACGAGAAUUAGAAUCUUCAAAGGAGAUGCUUUCAAACAGCACACUUUCCAGAUGACCACAUCGUGGAGAUAAUUGCCCAGAGGCUUUUGGAAGCACUCAUGUCAUGGGGACUCUGGGAGGACCGCCAGGUGUGCAUCACAACAGACAGUGGUGCAAACAUAGUGAAGGCUGCUUCACAACAACUGGACACAACUGUAUUGUUUUGGCCAACGGCUUCAUCUAGCCAUAGAGAGAAGUGGGAGGGACAAGAGGAUCGAAAGAGCUGUUGGAGUAUGUAAAAGAGUGGUCAGUGCCUUCUCCUACUUUUGGAGAAAGAAGGGAGACCUUGCAGAAACUCAAGAGGAGCUCAAACUUCCCCAGCACAAGACGGUCACGGACUCACCUACAAGAUGAGGCUCACGUCAGAAGUUUUUCUUCAGUUCUCUUUUCACCUCUUUUCACCUCACAGCUCACCUCCUUCUGUUUCUCCCUCACUUUGUGUGUCUGCUCUAUUGAAUUUCCUUUUCAGCAGUUUUAUAAACUCGCACAAAAAAAAACCCCAAAACAUCUUGUUUUUUUUUUUUGUGUUCACCAGCGAUUCUGUCUUCCCAACAGCUGGUGAGCUGUGUGUGGGGGAGGCUCGUUGUUAAAGACUUGGUACCAACAUACCCAGUGACAUCAGCACCAACAAGGUACACUUACAAGCUUGUAGUCUAUAAAAGGCAUAAGUUAAACAUGACAUCUCACACCAUAAUCAGUUCAUUUAGAAAACAUACCGGAGAACAUCUCUCUCUCUUUAUCUCUCGGUUUCUUUGCAAAACUUGUAGGUUUUUUAGUAGACAAUCAUAGAGUGAAGGUGUUUUUCCACUAGUUAAAGAAAGACACAAGUAUUUAGAUAAUUAUCUACAAGGACUCACCUACAAGAUGGGGCUCACAUCAAAAGAUGGUAGAGAGAGAGUGCUGUUAUAAGAGAAGGCCAUCGCACAAGUCUUGUCUCCGCUGACAAAAAGACCAGGCAUUUGAUUCCUAUGUGGCCGGAUAUUCAAGUCCUUGAAUCAUUCCACAAGGCAUUGAAUCCACUUCUAGAAUUCUCAGAUGCCUUCUCUGGGGAAGAAUAUGUCAGUGUAUACUACCUGUAAACCAGUUCUGUGUCUUCUCAAUGAAGGGCUGUUAAAGCUUGACGAUGAUGAUGCCGAGCUUACCGAAAACAUCAAGACACCGUCACUGAAUAUUUAAAUGAGAAAUAUGAUGACGUGAUCACUGAUGAUCUCUUGGACAUGGCAUCACUUUAGAUUCAAGACCAAGUGAAUGAAGGGUGAGAAGACUGGCACCAUAAAAACCAGAGCCAUGAGGAAGGACCGGCAGGAGCCACAGAAGCAGGAGCUGAGGGAGGAGCUGCUGCCGCUGUAGAAGAUGAUGACACUGGGUAGUUUUUUCAAAAAGUCCUACACCAGCACCACAUCAGUUCCUACAGAAGAGGAGGCUAUUGAAGCUGAACUGAAGAGAUACCCGCAAGCUCCUGAUGCAGACAGUGAGACCAAUCCCCUGGCAUGGUGGAAGAUCAAUGUAACAUUCUUUCCCAGAGUGAGCUGCCUGGCCAAACGUUACCUUGACACACCUGCCACCAGCUCCCCCUCAGAGCAUGUUUUUAGCACAGGUGGCAACAUUGUGUCCUGCCAUAGGGCAACUUUAAAGCCUGAGACUGUCGACACAGUAGUCUUUCUUGUAAGAAACUUGUUGUGAAGUUGCCUAGAAUGUGCAAUAUUCUCCAAGUUUAAACAGCAUCAUAAUCAUCCUCAA